rnacentral:rRNA from 1 species
UACAGAGGUCCCGAGCGUUGUUCGGAUUCACUGGGCGUAAAGGGUGCGUAGGUGGUGAGGUAAGUCGGAUGUGAAAUCUCCAAGCUCAACUUGGAAAUGGCAUUGGAAACUACCUUGCUGGAGGUUUGGAGGGGGGACUGGAAUUCUCGGUGUAGCAGUGAAAUGCGUAGAUAUCGAGAGGAACACCAGUGGCGAAGGCGAGUCCCUGGACAAAACCUGACACUGAGGCACGAAGGCCAGGGGAGCAAACGGG